UACGUAGGGUGCGAGCGUUGUCCGGAAUUAUUGGGCGUAAAGGGCUCGUAGGCGGUUUGUCGCGUCGGGAGUGAAAACCAGGUGCUUAACACCUGGCUUGCUUUCGAUACGGGCAGACUAGAGGUAUUCAGGGGAGAACGGAAUUCCUGGUGUAGCGGUGAAAUGCGCAGAUAUCAGGAGGAACACCCGUGGCGAAGGCGGCUCUCUGGGACGGUACUGACGCUGAGACGCGAAAGCGUGGGGAGCGAACAGG
rnacentral:rRNA from 1 species